rnacentral:lncRNA from 1 species
GAGACAUUCAGCCUUUGCCAGACCAAGACCGCGUGAAGGCAGCCCGGUGCAUUCCUACCCUCCUUCACAUGUACCCAGAAAGAGGUCAAUGAAGGCAGGUUCCUACAUACCCAUCCUAAAUGCCCACCCUCUCUACAGCACAUGGUUUCAUUGUGAGACCCCAGUGGGUGUGGAAGGUGGCAUUGGAAUGUCCAGCGGUGUCCGCAGAGGUACAACACUGGAAUUCACUGGCCCCCGUGGUGUGUAGGCUAGGUCAUCACGAAGGAAUCUGGGGAGAAGAGGAGAAGCCAUCCAUAAACCAGAAGGAGCCCCUGGACAGUGGGAAGCCAGGUGUGAGUGGGUCCCUGCAGUCCCACAAAGGUUUCCAGGAGGGGUACAAUCAACCGUGUCCAAGGCCGAGGAUGAGCCAAGGCCCAGGAGAACUGAGAAAGACCCUGAUCCAGCCACACAGGGGCCUUGCUGACCUCAACAGCAGCAGUUUGAGAGAUGGUUAGAGUCGGCCAACUUUGCACAGGAACCAGAGGAGGGUGACUGGGGCCCCAAGCGGAGACACCCCCGAGGCGUUUGGUGUGGAAGAAGGGAGCAGCGGAGCCCCAGCUGGAGGGAAGGGGGCUGCGGAGCACAGGCCUGGUGCCGUGGACAGGGAAUGGCAGAAUGCAUGCACAUGAGGGGUGGCCCAGGAGGGAGGGGAACCAGAGGUGCAGGAGAGGGGAGACUGCUGGGCCUUGAGAGGUGAUGGAACCCGCGUGUGCGAGCUUUGGUCAGCCAAGAGCAUGGGCUGGUCGUCCACAGACACAGGCCUAGAGGGACAGAGGACAUGUGAGCAGGAGGAGGUUGUGGAAGUUCACCUGGGAUUACCAUCGGU